AUCGCUUCUCGGCCUUUUGGCUAAGAUCAAGUGUAGUAUCUGUUCUUAUCACCUCGCUUCUUGAAAUUGAUUAAAUUAUUGUAUUCUAAUAUUAAAAGUAGAUGUGCGGUGAAUGGCUAUCUGAC
rnacentral:snRNA from 1 species